rnacentral:rRNA from 1 species
UACGUAGGGUGCGAGCGUUAAUCGGAAUUACUGGGCGUAAAGCGUGCGCAGGCGGUUCGUUAUGUCCGAUGUGAAAGCCCCGAGCUCAACUUGGGAAUGGCAUUGGAAACUGGCGGGCUGGAGUGUGGCAGAGGGGGGUGGAAUUCCACGUGUAGCAGUGAAAUGCGUAGAGAUGUGGAGGAACACCGAUGGCGAAGGCAGCCCCCUGGGCCAACACUGACGCUGAGGCGCGAAAGCUAGGGGAGCAAACAGG